rnacentral:rRNA from 1 species
UCCUACGGGAGGCAGCAGUAGGGAAUCUUCGGCAAUGGACGAAAGUCUGACCGAGCAACGCCGCGUGAGUGAAGAAGGUUUUCGGAUCGUAAAACUCUGUUGGUAGAGAAGAACGUUGGUGAGAGUGGAAAGCUCAUCAAGUGACGGUAACUACCCAGAAAGGGACGGCUAACUACGUGCCAGCAGCCGCGGUAAUACGUAGGUCCCGAGCGUUGUCCGGAUUUAUUGGGCGUAAAGCGAGCGCAGGUGGUUUAUUAAGUCUGGUGUAAAAGGCAGUGGCUCAACCAUUGUAUGCAUUGGAAACUGGUAGACUUGAGUGCAGGAGAGGAGAGUGGAAUUCCAUGUGUAGCGGUGAAAUGCGUAGAUAUAUGGAGGAACACCGGUGGCGAAAGCGGCUCUCUGGCCUGUAACUGACACUGAGGCUCGAAAGCGUGGGGAGCAAACAGGAUUAGAUACCCUGGUAGUCC